GGCAAGGGGAUGGAUGGAAAUGGAUGGAGAGUUGACUGCGCACUGUGUGACUGCUGUACACAAGGGCUCGGGAUCCGAAGUGUUGAUUUGAUUUCACAAGUGUUUCAGUAAUUUCAUCGUAGGACGGCCCCCGCUGGUUACAACUCACACAUUUUAAGCGGACGAGGGAGAAUGAAGAUGACCUCCCGCGUACCCGCAUCAAUACCAAUACAACGUCCA
rnacentral:lncRNA from 1 species